rnacentral:snRNA from 1 species
AUCGCUUCUCAGCCUUUUGGCUAAGAUCAAGUGUAGUAUCUGUUCUUAUCAGUUUAAUUUUUAUGUGGGGAUGUAAAGUCUGUGUCUAGGUUUAAUUUUUGCAUGUGGUUGCCCGGUUGUUUCAGCAUCAUUUGUUGGAAACAGUACCUUU